AGAGUUUGAUCCUGGCUCAGGACGAACGCUGGCGGCGCGCCUAACACAUGCAAGUCGAACGAGCGAGAGAGAGCUUGCUUUCUCGAGCGAGUGGCGAACGGGUGAGUAACGCGUGAGGAACCUGCCUCAAAGAGGGGGACAACAGUUGGAAACGACUGCUAAUACCGCAUAAGCCCACGGGUCGGCAUCGACCAGAGGGAAAAGGAGCAAUCCGCUUUGAGAUGGCCUCGCGUCCGAUUAGCUAGUUGGUGAGGUAAUGGCCCACCAAGGCGACGAUCGGUAGCCGGACUGAGAGGUUGAACGGCCACAUUGGGACUGAGACACGGCCCAGACUCCUACGGGAGGCAGCAGUGGGGAAUAUUGCACAAUGGGGGAAACCCUGAUGCAGCGACGCCGCGUGGAGGAAGAAGGUCUUCGGAUUGUAAACUCCUGUUGUUGGGGAAGAUAAUGACGGUACCCAACAAGGAAGUGACGGCUAACUACGUGCCAGCAGCCGCGGUAAAACGUAGGUCACAAGCGUUGUCCGGAAUUACUGGGUGUAAAGGGAGCGCAGGCGGGAAGACAAGUUGGAAGUGAAAUCUAUGGGCUCAACCCAUAAACUGCUUUCAAAACUGUUUUUCUUGAGUAGUGCAGAGGUAGGCGGAAUUCCCGGUGUAGCGGUGGAAUGCGUAGAUAUCGGGAGGAACACCAGUGGCGAAGGCGGCCUACUGGGCACCAACUGACGCUGAGGCUCGAAAGUGUGGGUAGCAAACAGGAUUAGAUACCCUGGUAGUCCACACCGUAAACGAUGAUUACUAGGUGUUGGGGGAUUGACCCCCUCAGUGCCGCAGUUAACACAAUAAGUAAUCCACCUGGGGAGUACGACCGCAAGGUUGAAACUCAAAGGAAUUGACGGGGGCCCGCACAAGCAGUGGAGUAUGUGGUUUAAUUCGACGCAACGCGAAGAACCUUACCAAGUCUUGACAUCCCUUGACGAUACUGGAAACAGUAUUUCUCUUCGGAGCAAGGAGACAGGUGGUGCAUGGUUGUCGUCAGCUCGUGUCGUGAGAUGUUGGGUUAAGUCCCGCAACGAGCGCAACCCUUAUGGUCAGUUACUACGCAAGAGGACUCUGGCCAGACUGCCGUUGACAAAACGGAGGAAGGUGGGGAUGACGUCAAAUCAUCAUGCCCUUUAUGACUUGGGCUACACACGUACUACAAUGGCGUUAAACAAAGAGAAGCAAGACCGCGAGGUGGAGCAAAACUCAGAAACAACGUCCCAGUUCGGACUGCAGGCUGCAACUCGCCUGCACGAAGUCGGAAUUGCUAGUAAUCGUGGAUCAGCAUGCCACGGUGAAUACGUUCCCGGGCCUUGCACACACCGCCCGUC
rnacentral:rRNA from 1 species